rnacentral:rRNA from 1 species
AUUGAACGCUGGCGGCAGGCCUAACACAUGCAAGUCGAACGAGUGGCGGACGGGUGAGUAAUGUCUGGGAAACUGCCUGAUGGAGGGGGAUAACUACUGGAAACGGUAGCUAAUACCGCAUACCAUCAGAUGGGCCCAGAGGGGAUUAGCUAGUUGGGGGGGUAACGUCUCACCAAGGCGACGAUCCCUAGCUGGUCUGAGAGGAUGACCAGCCACACUGUAACUGAGACACGGUCCAGACUCCUACGGGAGGCAGCAGUUGGGAAUAUUGCACAAUGGGCGCAAGCCUGUGGCAGCCAUGCCGCGUGUAUGAAGAAGGUCUUCGGGUUGUAAAGUACUGUCAGCGGGGAGGCGUUACCCGCAGAGGAAGCACCGGCUAACUCCGUGCCAGCAGCCGCGGUAAUAC